rnacentral:misc_RNA from 1 species
UUAAGUUCAGCGGGUAUCCCUACCUGAUCCGAGGUCAACCGUAAAGAGUGGGCGGGGGCAAGCGCGCGCCGGACGCCCGUAACGAGGAGAGACUACUACGUUCAGGGCCCAGCGGCGCCGCCAUUGACUUUGGAGCCUGCCAUCGCUGGCACGGGCUCAACACCAAGCGGGGCUUGAGGGUUGCAAUGACGCUCGAACAG